rnacentral:tRNA from 1 species
UGGCGUAGUGGUCACUGCUCUCGCGUUGCAAGCGAGAGAACCGGGUUCGAUUCCCGG